rnacentral:rRNA from 1 species
UACGUAGGGUCCGAGCGUUGUCCGGAAUUAUUGGGCGUAAAGGCUCGUAGGCGGUUCGUCGCGUCGGGAGUGAAAACUCGGGGCUCAACUCCGACGCUUGCAGUCGAUACGGGCAGGCUAGAGUUCGGCAGGGGGAGACUGGAAUUCCUGGUGUAGCGGUGAAAUGCGCAGAUAUCAGGAGGAACACCGGUGGCGAAGGCGGGUCUCUGGGCCGAUACUGACACUGAGGAGCGAAAGCGUGGGGAGCGAACAG